rnacentral:rRNA from 1 species
UAGGGAAUCUUCCGCAAUGGACGAAAGUCUGACGGAGCAACGCCGCGUGAACGAUGAAGGUCUUCGGAUCGUAAAGUUCUGUUGUCAGGGAAGAACAAGUACCGUGCGAAUAGAGCGGUACCUUGACGGUACCUGACGAGGAAGCCACGGCUAACUACGUGCCAGCAGCCGCGGUAAUACGUAGGUGGCAAGCGUUGUCCGGAAUUAUUGGGCGUAAAGCGCGCGCAGGCGGUUCCUUAAGUCUGAUGUGAAAGCCCACGGCUCAACCGUGGAGGGUCAUUGGAAACUGGGGAACCUGAGUACAGAAGAGGAGAGUGGAAUUCCACGUGUAGCGGUGAAAUGCGUAGAUAUGUGGAGGAACACCAGUGGCGAAGGCGACUCUCUGGUCUGUAACUGACGCUGAGGCGCGAAAGCGUGGGGAGCAAACAGGAUUAGAUACCCUGGUAGUCCACGCCGUAAACGAUGAGUGCUAGGUGUUAGGGGG